AUCUCAGAUGCUUACUGACUUUUUUGUUUCCACUACUUGGCCCUUGUUCGACAUUUAUUGAAAUAAUCACCAGAUAAACCAGAAGCAAGCACUGAUGUUAAAGACCUUGUUGUCACUUGAAAGGCACAACAUAUGGAUAAGGAAAUUUAACUUCAUCUGGUAAAAGAAGACUCCUAAGGCAAUGCAGAAACAUAUGGAUUUCUUGGUUCAACAUGCUUAUCCUUAAUAUUUUUCAUUAAUUGCAACAAAUUCAUCUAAACUUAUGAAACAGUAAUGGAUCUGAAUCCAAAACACACCCU